rnacentral:rRNA from 1 species
UGGGGAAUUUUGGACAAUGGGCGAAAGCCUGAUCCAGCAAUGCCGCGUGUGUGAAGAAGGCCUUCGGGUUGUAAAGCACUUUUGUCCGGAAAGAAAUCCUUGGCUCUAAUACAGUCGGGGGAUGACGGUACCGGAAGAAUAAGCACCGGCUAACUACGUGCCAGCAGCCGCGGUAAUACGUAGGGUGCAAGCGUUAAUCGGAAUUACUAGGCGUAAAGCGUGCGCAGGCGGUUUGCUAAGACCGAUGUGAAAUCCCCGGGCUCAACCUGGGAACUGCAUUGGUGACUGGCAGGCUAGAGUAUGGCAGAGGGGGGUAGAAUUCCACGUGUAGCAGUGAAAUGCGUAGAGAUGUGGAGGAAUACCGAUGGCGAAGGCAGCCCCCUGGGCCAAUACUGACGCUCAUGCACGAAAGCGUGGGGAGCAAAACAGGAUUAGAUACCCUGGUAGUCCACGCCCUAAACGAUGUCAACUAGUUGUUGGGGAUUCAUUUCCUUAGUAACGUAGCUAACGCGUGAAGUUGACCGCCUGGGGAGUACGGUCGCAAGAUUAAAACUCAAAUGAAUUGACGGGGUCAUAGCUGUUU